GAGGAGGACGACGAGCUCCCUGUCAAACCAAUUCAGGAGAGGAAGCGGUAGGGGAUGCAGCUGCCGGUUCAUGGAUACCUCUGGAGCGCAUUGCAUGGUGAUCGAUAUUGUAGGCCUGCACUUGCAAGGGUUUGCAUGAUCCGGGAGAUGAACCUGCCAUUAUUGUCUUUCUCUAUUGAUUGGUUUGAAGGGAGCUCCACACCUCUCUCUC
rfam:Oryza brachyantha chromosome 1, whole genome shotgun sequence.